CAGGUGCACUAUGCCAUUAUCUUUUCCUGUAACUAAAGACUGUUAAUAUGAUAGAAGCACUGAAGUUCACCUGGUCAUAGUGGAGGUCCCCAGAGUAUGUGGUAAUGCAGUGAAGCAUUUAGUUAGUCAGUGAAUUCGAUAUGAGUCUUACAUUACACCUAUUCCUUUCCAAGUGUUUGUCUUUUGACUGUGAAGUUCUGCAUGUGAAGAUUUAGCCCUUCAGUCUGAUCACAGUAAUAUCAGCUGAUGCACAGCUCACCCUCAUCCAUCACCGCAUCUAUGAAGAGAUCCUCUGUGAGGAAAUUAAUUCUCUGACUGGGGAACCCUGAGCAGUGAGCAGAAGAGUGUGAGACAGGAUUCUUGGCCAAAGAGAAGCAUGAUGAGCACAUCCAUCCACAUGGCUUAAUCUGGGGACCAGGACUUACUGCCUGCUGAGGUAACUGCACUGUUAUUGAUGAGCCAAUGUGCUUCUCCCACUGAGACAAAUUUUCCUCUGAGAGUUCCCUAACAGUGUUUUAAAAGUGUUUUCUGAGCUCUAUCAUUACUCCAUUAAGCAAACUUGAUAUGUGACUGGAUAUAUAUCUCACUGUUGCAAACUGACAUACGAAAAAUUCCUUAGAGAUACUGAAGGAUAUUAUGUCCACACAGUCAUAUUAUC